UGAGGAACAUGACCUUCGGCGGGGGAUAGCCGGCCCAACGGCCGGGUAAUACCGCGUACGACCACAUGGGGACAUCCCUGAGUGGUGAAAGCAGCAAUGCGCCGAUGGAGUGCCUCGCGGCCUAUCAGCUAGUUGGUGAGGUAACGGCUCACCAAGGCGACGACGGGUAGCUGGUCUGAGAGGAUGGCCAGCCACAUUGGGACUGAGACACGGCCCAGACCUNUACCGGGAG
rnacentral:rRNA from 1 species